rnacentral:misc_RNA from 1 species
UGAGACCUACAAAAAGAGUUGGUUCGAUUUAGGGUGCCCCCUCACGUAUACGUGGCCCGAUGUCGGUUCGAGAAAAAAAUUGGGUGCAUAUGUCGUUCACGUCCAAGGCAUGAUUAUUCUUGGCUUCCUANUUGGUUACCGAUUUGUAGGCCGCUUUCUUGUGUAUCAGUAGUGAUCGAUGGUCAAUAGCCUGUGCCUUGCACAGCCUGSCCACAACCAUGAAGUCGUACACCUGAUUGAUGCCGUGGUUCGAAAUUGGAAGUCGASAUGAAUGCUGGAAGACUGGUGGGUUCGAGAUCAAMAAUGCAUAUGUGCCUGAUGUUGGUUUAGGAUGAAAAGAACUGGGUGCAUAUGUGAUCCACGUCCAAGGCAUGAAUCUUGGCUUC